ensembl:lncRNA
CCCCGAUUGCUGCUCUUGCUUAAACUGCACCCUAAUUUUGUGUCACUUCUUGGACACCAUGCUUUUGCUCAGUCUUCCCUGAACAUCUGCAGUUCUAACCAUCCCCUCCUGCCUGCUCCAACCUAGGGGAGGCCCAGAUUCUUCAUCCUCUGCCCUCCCAGUCUGGCCAUUCUGAAAUAAUUGCAAGAUGGCAGAAGGAACAGAGAAGGAGGCACUGCACGGGUAACUGGAAGUAUGGCAGGAAGAGGAGAGCAAACAAGUGACAACAGGGACCACACCAAAAGCUGCAUAGAGGUAUUCCCAGGCAAAGGAGGCAGCGUAUUGAGUGCGAGGACAUUGUGAGGACAAGCACCUGAAUUGAAGCUGCCAACCAGCCCACCUCCCUGCCUCCCACCCUUCCUAAAGUUAUUCUCCAGUAAAUAGCCCUCCCAUGUGGACUGGCACCCAUUGAAGAGUGACUGAUUAUCAGAAACAAACCAGCAUGGGACCUCUACUUACAGAAAAGGAGAAAAGAAACUGAUCAAACACAAAUAUAAAGAACAACUUUCCAAAAACGACUAUCUCACCAAACAAGCAAAUUUCACUUUUCAUUGGGCAUCAUCAACUAAGUAGAAGGAAAUAUACGCUUUUGAAGAAAGAUUUGAAAAAAUAAACUUAAAAAGAAAGAAUAAGGAUGAGAAAGUAGAGCAAGAUAGUUAGUGGAUAGUGAGCAAGAAAAGUUCAGAAGAAAAGAAAGAAAGAAAGAAAGCCAUCAAACGUUCAAAACAGCAAAAUAUUAGAAUAGACACUAAUUGAAAAACAUAAAGACAUGGAGGACUGGCUUGAAACAAAAACAUACGAAUACAAAUAUUAUCAAAUUAUGAGAUAAAAGUAAUUAGAAGUAAAGUACUGGUGUGCCAGCAGAAGACAGACUAAAGAGAUCAAAUUUUGAAUUAGAGUUAGGAAAAAGUAAGAACAGGACAAUUAGAACAAAAAAAUCAAAAAUACCUGAAAAUAAAAUUACCAUGAAAUAAAUAACAGAAAUCUAGAAUUUAUACAGAUAAAAAUAGCAUAUUACAGCUCAGAAAAAAUAGUGAUACAGAAAAAACAGCUCUAAGAUAUAGCCCAAUGAAGUUCUCAGACUUCAAGUAUAAUAAAAGAAUUCAAUGAAAUUCAGCAUUUCUCAUCUCCCACGUACAAAAAUUCACCUAUGGGGAAAACUGAUGCUUCCUCCAUAUUCAGUAAUAGAAAAUAAUGAGUGACUCAGAUUUUCUUUCAAGUGUAAAGACAGCAUAUAGAAUUUUUUGAGUAUGCAAGAGAUCAGGAACAAAACGUCUAUGUGUCCUUUUGUAUAAACAAGGUAUAACUAAAUGGUGGUUCAAAACUGAUAUAAAAUAAUCAAUACAUAAAAUGAGCAGAAAAAUACAGAAAAGAUUUCAUUUUUAAUUUAUAUUAAGAAAUAUAUCUAGAAAUAAACUUAAAAAGAAAAUGUGCAAGACAUAUGAAAAAAACCUAUAGGAAAAAAUCUUUGCUGAAAAUCAAUAAAAACUUUAAAUAAAGAAAAAGAUAUAUUUUUAUAAGAUUCACUCCCUAUUUUAAGGAUCAUAAUGCUUCCUAAAUUAGUGUAUAACUACAAUUUUAUCACAAUCAAAAUACUAACAGGCAUUUUUUUAGAACUUGCAAGCUGAUCUUAACAUUCAAAAGAAAAACUUAUCAUGGGGAUAUAGCCAGAAAAUUUAUUUUUAAAAAAGCAGCACAAAAAAUGGGGAAAACGGUUCUAAAUUACUAAAAUGUCUCCAGUAAUUUGUAAAAUUUGAUGCUGUCACAAGUGUAGAUAAGCAGAUCAGUGGAACGGAAUAGAGUCUAGAAGCAGACACAAAGACACUCGUGAAGGAAGCCCAUUAAUGGAGUUGAGAUGACUGGCUAUGUAGAAAAUGUAACGCUGAAUUCCUCUUCCUACCUCAUUUCUUUCACCGAAAAUAAAUUACUGAUUGGUCAAAGAUUUAAAUUUCAAAAAUGAAACUAUGAAGUAACUCGGGGAGACGAUAAAAUAUUUAAAAUAUAAUCUGGCAGC